AAUGUCAGCUCGCUCGCUGCUUCUGCACGCGCCUUCUGCUCUGUCAACAACACGGUCUCUAAACAUUUACUCUCCAAGCUCCCCAACACUUUAUCAGCGACGCUAAACCAGAAAGUAUACGACUGAAGAGGCACCAUGGUCUAUGAAAAUAUACAUGAGGCUUUUCUGAAGGUAAAAGAAGGACACUUUGUGACGGUCAAAAGGAACUCUAGAGCUGGAGUGGUGCUGUGUGUUGUCGAACUUAAAGAAGAAGCACCUUCAGUGAAAAUAUGGACACGUGUAAGCGGAACGACAAAUCAGAUUGCUUUUAGUUUCAAGAGAAAAAAUGUCAACUAUUCCCUGAAGGUGAAAGAAAAAAAUCUGCAGUUGGAGAAGAUUGCCGAUGUUUCUGAAAUCCAUGAACCUUAUUGGUUUGAGAAGGUUAACCUUAACACCAACGAACAUUACGGCCUGCGGUCCGUCGUCAAUCCUCGUCAUUACCUCAGUAAAGAUGACACAAAAGAAACCACUGUUUUCUGCCUCCGUGAAGACAGUCAGGCAUGCGCUGAGCUCACAGAUGAAGCAUGAAGAAACCAACUACACCUUCGACAAUAUAACAGCAGACUUUCCUGCUGGGUUAGAUGGGUUUCUCGGCAACAAGCAGGGAGUGGAUUUGCUUAGAAAAUGUGUCCUUCCUUGGUGUUAAACUUAACACUAUACUUUUGAUGAAGCUAUCCAACUAGAGAGCGUUACCGAGAGAGAAUAUACCAGGGGAUUCCCCCCCCCCCCC